CGUCGCCAGAUGCCGACAGCCACAGCCAAUUACAUGGGUCCGGCCGUUCCGGCGGUUUUUGUGCGUGCGCGAGCUUUUCCGAAUUAAUGUGGAAUAGAGUAUAAUUGUCACCGGUCUUCCAGGUGUGUACCGUUGUCCACGUGAGAAAUCAAGCCGUUUUUUUUUCUGUUUCCAUCAAACAUUUUGAAUGUGAAGGACCCCUAUAUAAUAAUAAAGUAAUAGGAAUACAAAUGUAAUCAUUUUAAAUAUGAAUGUUAUAGAUACCUAUAUUGGUAUCUCUUGGUAUGGUUAAUAUUUUUUGCAUUUAUUGCCAAACAAUAUCACCGGAACUUUAAAUAGUUCUAAGAUAACAAAAAUUAUAGUUGUUAAAAUUAGUGGAAUUAUUUGAAAAAGUUUAAACGUUAUAAUAUUUAUUUCAUUUUAAAUGUCACAUACAAUGGUUUAAAGACUGAAAGCCGACCGAAAACUUACUACAAAUUUGUACAUUAUGGAUGCAAUUAUUAGAUAAAUUAUUAAAAAAUUUACAGGAUGAUUCAUUCAAUUCGUUUUCGAAAAGGAAAGCGUGCUUUCCUUUUUUUGUUUAAAUCUUGCAUACAUUCAAAUUCUGAUUUUUGGAAUUUUUAAAUUUAGUUAAGGCAUAUAUUUUGGAAUACUUAGAUUUUUCAUAUUUUAUCCUGCCGUACAACUGAUAUUCCACUACUCUCUCCUACCCAAACUUAAAAGUUGAAUAUCUUGUCAACAGGAUGACAGAAAUAAAAAGUGUUGACACAAAAAUUUAUUUAAACUAAUAAUUCAUCUAUUUAUAUAUUUUUUAAAAACUUUGUCAGCUUGGUUUCAAUUGGCUUCAAAUAUCUUAAAAUGCAUUGUGUAGGUACCUACUAUGUCAUCACAUGGGGUUUAGGUCUAUUUGCAGUUAGGUUAGGCUGAGCAACAGGCGUCUGAUCAAGGAGGAAGUAGAACGUCCAUGGCUCUGACCUUCGAAAACUACUAUUCUUAUUUUGGAUAGAGUAUAGUUGAGUUGCUAGUGUAGUACUUUUAUAAAUAUAUAGAUCCAAAUGAGAUAAUAAAACGAGCUUGUAUAAUAUUUGUUAUGAAAUAAAUUUUGUAUUUUAAUUUUUUUUUUUUAGCUCAAGUAAACCACAAAACGUGUGAUUAGACAAUGCUUUAUACCCCAGGAAUUUUAAUUUGGAUGAAAGUAUACAACAGAUUAUAGUGGCCUGGGGAAGUAGUGGAUUUUUCUAUUGUACUGCAAUAAUUACAAUACUUUAAGAAUCCCAUUGCAAUGGUUUUCUUACCAAAGAAAGAGAUAAUAG